CCGCGGGUCAAAGGUCGCUCUCGCGUGUCGGAAUCGGCGGGCCUGAGCGCGCGCGUCUUUCCACGUGUCACCGAGGCUCCGCGCGGGCCUUCCCCCGAGCCGCUGCCGUGGAACAAAACGAGCGCGUCUUCCGGUCGCGGGUCAUAAACGCCACGGAUGAUGGCGUCGGCGCGAACGAGUUGCUCUUUUGACCUUUUGGUGGGUCGUCCGUCGAAAGCUGACGUGAUGCGUUUCCAAGACGUCGCGUGUGUACAUUCGACGUCUCGCUUCUGCCAAGCAGAUCGGAUCCAUGGAUCCCGAUCUGGUGUCCCGGUGGCUCUGGCGGCGGCCCCGUCGCGUCGUCCCGUCCGUAUUGAGUGUUCGUUCGGUGUCUUCGCGCUGUUCUGACAUAAGCCGAACAGGAAAUGUUACGACUGCUGGCCGCUGUGUUUGCAUGUCACUGACAGCACAUCGAGGGUUUGAUUUUGUGCGGCGGAUAGCAAAAGUCGACACACCUUGGUUGAAAAGGCCCAACUACUGUUCUGUACAACCGAAGUGCAAAGAAAAGUGAUCGUUUUUGAGAGGGGCAAGAAAAAUGAAUUCCGCAUGAAGCGAUCACAUUCCAACUCAUCUUGGCAGGUGCCGCUGCCUUGUCUGCCGCCUUUGAUUUGGACUGAACUGAAACGUCUCCAUUGUUGUAUUGUUCGGCGCAUUCCUGACAUUUUCUUUUUCGCCCCGAAGGUGUUUGCGCUAACGCCGCCUGCCGCUCGGAACCGGUUCUUAUUUCCUCCGCUAGGAGUGUGCGGCCUUGGCGCCAGACGGUUACUCAAGAUCAAUCUUCUUUCCAUUCUGGCCUGACCUCACGUUGAUCCCGAAAUUGGACUUCGGUUGACCGUUUUAAUGACGACAAAAUGAAAAGCAAAAUAUUCAAGCGUGUAAGACAAGAAGCGGAGAGCGUGUCCUCUCACUAUCGUGGUCCUUCUCAUCCAAUCGGUGACGUAUAUUCCACCCACCGAUGACGCCCGGUCCCUCCUCGAAUCUCUUUUCAUCCGUCAGUCUCUCCAUGUGCUGUAAAUCUUCAGCCAUCUUUCUCCGUGGUUGCAUUGGAGGUGCAUCGCCCUUCGGCCAUUUUUUUUUUUCUCCUUCCCAACGGCAGGAGCGACUUGAUCAAGUCAAGUCGAGCUUUAUUGUCGAAUGUGCUCUACGUGCAACGUGCGGCACAAAUGAAAUGACUUUCAUCUGCGCCGCAGGGGGUGGCCAAGUUUGGCGACGACACUCGGACAAAAUACGGAGAGGACUUUAGAAAUACGUGCGUGGCUUGAAAACAUGGACUGAAAUCCCACAGAUGGAAGUUGUAAAUGAUGUCAGAUCUCAAUAUUUGUACUUUUUUUUUUUUUUUUUUCCAGCAGAGGAGUUCCACCCGUUUCGACAGUUUGCCGCUCUUUUGGUCAAAUAUGCAGUGAAUUGUGGGUGGAAGUGCAACUGCCGCCAGCAUUUCGAGUAGGCGUUGUCGAAAGCGCCCAAACAAAUUGAGUGGUUGACUUCCUGGUUUAGCCUGUAACUUGAGUCCACCGCUCAGUCACUGAAUAACGACAAGUGAAGUGAAAGUCAACAAAUGACACGCAUGAGCUCUGGGGCUUGAUGUCAAAAAAUGCCGUUGACUUUGGCGCGGACGCUUUCUUUUGACAGUCGUGCGGGCGUACGCGGGCGGGGAAGGCGCAACAGUCGUUGGGCAAUCGGAGUUGACUUUGCGCCCGUCGCUUACCCCGAAGCGGCGCGACGCCGAGCCGCUCGAAAAACUCCUUCGAGCCGACUGCAUUUGCUCAAUG